rnacentral:lncRNA from 1 species
AGAGGACAGCAUGAGCAGGCCGCAGCCCAGGACAGGAGCUGGACAGGUCUGUCUAGUCCCUGCCACCUUCUUAUUGGGCCACCUGGCACAGGAGGCUCCUCCCAGCCUCUGCUGCUGGCCAGACUGGUCACUCAGGACACUCCCAGGGGAGGCCUCCCGGAGCCCUGUCUGCAGCCCGGGCAGCCUGCCUGGUCUCAGUGCCAGGCAGGAGAUGAGGCCAGCUGUGUGGAGCCUGGGCGCCUCCCAGGCAGGGCUUCCUGGAGGGUGCCCAGCCUGCCAGACUGGUUCCUGAGCAGCCUGGCCGGCCCCUGCCAGCCCACUGCCUGCCUGGGAGCCCGCCGUCCUAGGGCCGUGUUGUGGGCAGCCACCAGGCCUGUCUCAGCAUGACCCCUGGCCAGCAAACGACUCUCCGGUGACAGGAGCUGCCCGGCCCCUGCCCCUUCCCGCUCCCGUCUCUUGAGGGCAGGGAGAGCCACCCAGAGCUGAGGGGGGAGACCCUGGGGAGCACUGCCAAGAGGGACAUGAAGGCCAGGAAGCCCUAGGAAGUGGGAAGAGGCUGCCUGUGGCCCCUGGUGGCCCUGGGCUGAGGCCCCAGACCCAGGACUAGAGGCCCUCAGCAUGCCUUGGGAAGCCCUGUUGGGACCUGGGGACAGUAGGAAGGAGGGGCCAGGUGGCAACCCACAUCCAUCAGAGUGGCGCCUUCUGAGCUUCUCUUGGCAUGGGGACUCAGGUCUCUGAGGAGUAGACAGGCUGACCUUUGUCAUGGCCAAGGAUAAGGACCAUAAAUAAGGCUGCCCCUGGUCAGCUGGACAGCUCCAGCAAGGCCCAGCCAGUUGUGACUCUCAGGGGGACAGUGCCAAUCUUGAGGACAAUCUGCAUUGAUUGGAAGGAACACUUCCUCCUGCAGGUACCUUCACCCCAACCCUGGACAGGGGAGCCCCCGAGUAAUACAUCUCCAGAACCCCACUGGGGUGGGCCUGAGUGUGAGGGAGCCCCUCAGGGCCACCUGCCCACUGAGACCCCAGCCACCAGGGCAAGCGGCAGGCCUCGGGUGCACAGGAGAGGCUGGCCUGGUCCCCAGGCCUCCCUGGAUCCUGGGCCCGCAGCAGGGAUGGGCCCCAACACAGGGUCCUGGCACCUCUGGCUCCCGGGCACGGUCCACUUGCUCAGUGCCAACAGGGGAAGCCAGGACCCAGCCCUGGCUGGACCGACUCUGGGCGGCUGGCUCCCUACUGCCCGGCCUGUGGCUGCCCCUAGGAAGCCUCCCCCGGGAACCCGCAGCCUUGGCUCUCGCCAAGGUGGUAGAACCAGGCUGUCCAGGCCCAGGCCGGCUCCGUGCCCUGCCAUCCUGACCCGGCAUGGGUGGGCCUGGCCCUCACGUCCGCCUGGCUUCUGAAGCCCAGGCUGCCCCUCCUGGGUCUCAUCAGCUACACUAACCUCGACUGGGGAUCUGUGGAGGGUGUCACCGUAGCCCUCACUCGGGGAGAGUUAGGCCCUGGCCAGAGGGGAGGGAGUUCAGCCUGGAGCUGGGGCAGUAACGAAAAGAGGUCCCCAGGAUGGGAGGAGCGGUCCAGGCCGUGGGGGCUGGGGUCUCAGUGGGCGGUGGGCCAAGGGUGGCCCCGAGGGGAGACGCAAGCUGUGGGUACAGGGGACAGGUAUGCGCGUAUCAUGGGCUCACCUCCCUGAUGGAGGCGAGGGGGCAGGGUGGGGUCCCAGAAGGAGAGGUAUUUCUGGGGUCCCUCUCUGCAAGCUUUGUGAUGUGGGGGCUCCUGUGAUUGGAGCCACUAAGACCCCGACCCCCAGCUACCCCUGCCGGCCUAGGAAAGGUGGGCUCGGGGAGCAGGCAGCUGUACUGGACAGGAAGGGCCGGCCACCCCCUGUCUGCCCAUGGAGGUGACUCCCUUCAGCGGUCGACUGAGCCCUCCUGGGACCCGGGGGUCAAAUCACCCAAGAGCAGGACUGCCCAGGCUGGUGACUCCCUCACCCAUGGCCAGAGGGAGUGGGAAUUUGGGGUGACAUCACACAGUGUCUUUCCCUGAGAUGGGCACACUGUGGGGGCGCUGUGAGACCAGGGUGCAGCCAGGGCAGGGGGCCCAGGCCCCACGGCAGCUUUCUGGGCUGGGUGACCCUGGCCCUCAGGAUGGGGUACGGCACUGUAUCUGUUGCACGCUGAGCUGUCAGCUCAGGUCCAGGCUGGGUCCUAUCCAGGAGUGGCCCCAGGAAGCCACCAAGCACCG